rnacentral:lncRNA from 1 species
UCACAUGAGAAUGAUAAUCUUAUGUGAGAAUACUUAUCAACCAUUAGAUUAAAAUAGAUGGUAUAGAUUAAAAGAUUUAUUUUAAAUGACACAUGUGCUUUCCACAUCUCAUCCAAUCUCUUGAAGUGUUCACCUCCUUUCUCCAUGAGUUUCUGAUCUCUGAUUCUUCUCCAAUCUACGGAUGCUCCUUCAAUUUUCUGACUUACAAAAAACAUGAUUGAAGGGGUUUUCAGUAUUAAAUUCUCCAUCAGACUCCAUAGCUAAUUGAUCCACCGUGUAGUUUCUCUAUAUUCUAUAAUUUCAAGUCACGGUUCUCUUCUCUCAAAUUUGCAAUCAACACUUUUUUUUAAUUAAAUCAACAAAAUUGCUACGUGAUUAAGGAAAUCAACAAAUUUAUUUUUAUUUCUUCAACAUUGAUGGUGUGAAAGAAAUUAAGUUUUUAAAUUAAUUAAACUGAUUGAAAUCACCUUCAACGUUAAUGGUGUGAAAGAUAUUAGCGGCGGCUAGGUGAUUGUAUUUUCAUUAAAGAUUAUGGCAAGUGAUUUUGUAGACUUUGUUCUUGUUUGACGUUAACAAAUUUUACAGAUGUUUGUGGAUUGGAGAGGGAAGAAGAUGAACGGAUCAAGAGAUUGA